UGCUGUUGGAGAAAUUAUACCUGGAGGUGCAUAUGUUGUUUCUCCAUCUUCUCCUGAUGAUGUUGGAGUCUGUGAGACAGAUAUUGUUUACAAACCUACAACUGGAGCUAAGAGUCAGAAAGUGUGUGUCAGAGCUAAGGGAGCUAAUAAUAGUGAUGGAGAACUGAGAUGUUUCAAAAUUGAUCCAUCAUUAAACGAUGCAAAUCCAUGUCACACUGCAAUGUGCCAUACAGGGGAUUGUGUCUCAACAGUGGAUGAUGAUGUUGAAUGUAAAUGUCACAUAGGAACAACAGGAAAAACAUGUGAUCAAGAUACAAAGAAUUUAAUCACAGGACAUACUGUGAGUGGAAAGCCUGGUUUUGUGGACACAGUCAAACCGAAAAAGAUUGUUUGUUAUACCAGACAGCCAUGUGGGAUACCAGUAGCUGUGAACAGUAAUGGUGGACAAAG